GGGGAUGCAACGGAUUCGACGGGGAUACAGAGAUCUGAUAAGCGGGCGGAUGCAGCUAUCAUCCUAAAAAUGGCUGACUUUUAUAAAUUAAAGAACAACGAUAAUCCUGUUCUUCUCGCUGCUUAAUUAGCGAGCGUCUCCUUCGAAAGGACCACGGUUCGUCGUGAGGCGUCGAUCAGUGGUGAACGUGAGCAUUUAAAGCUUUGAAAAUGCCAUGAAUAAUGAAGCUACCGAGCAACUGCGUUUGACAGUUCAUGCUUUUGUGCGGGAAUCUCAAGUAACUGUCUGCGCCCGGAGAAGGUCAUUUUGAAGUGUUUUCGGACGGGGGUUCAACUCCCCCCAUCUCCACCA
rnacentral:tmRNA from 1 species